AGCGAACGCUGGCGGCAGGCUUAACACAUGCAAGUCGAGCGGGCCCUUCGGGGUCAGCGGCAGACGGGUGAGUAACACGUGGGAACGUACCCUUUGGUUCGGAAUAACGCUGGGAAACUAGCGCUAAUACCGGAUACGCCCUUUUGGGGAAAGGCUUGCUGCCGAAGGAUCGGCCCGCGUCUGAUUAGCUAGUUGGUGGGGUAAUGGCCUACCAAGGCGACGAUCAGUAGCUGGUCUGAGAGGAUGAUCAGCCACACUGGGACUGAGACACGGCCCAGACUCCUACGGGAGGCAGCAGUGGGGAAUAUUGGACAAUGGGCGUAAGCCUGAUCCAGCCAUGCCGCGUGAGUGAUGAAGGCCUUAGGGUUGUAAAGCUCUUUUGUCCGGGACGAUAAUGACGGUACCGGAAGAAUAAGCCCCGGCUAACUUCGU
rnacentral:rRNA from 1 species